GUAGUUUGACUCCGUGGCUACAAGACGAACGCUGGCGGCGUGCUUAACACAUGCAAGUCGAACGGAAAGGCCCCUUCGGGGGUACUCGAGUGGCGAACGGGUGAGUAACACGUGGGUGAUCUGCCCUGCACUCUGGGAUAAGCCUGGGAAACUGGGUCUAAUACCGGAUACACCCUUCUGGUUGCAUGGCUGGGAGGGGAAAGCUUUUGCGGUGUGGGAUGGGCCCGCGGCCUAUCAGCUUGUUGGUGGGGUGAUGGCCUACCAAGGCGACGACGGGUAGCCGGCCUGAGAGGGUGUCCGGCCACACUGGGACUGAGAUACGGCCCAGACUCCUACGGGAGGCAGCAGUGGGGAAUAUUGCACAAUGGGCGCAAGCCUGAUGCAGCGACGCCGCGUGGGGGAUGACGGCCUUCAGGUUGUAAACCCCUUUCAGUAGGGACGAAGCGUGAGUGACGGUACCUACAGAAGAAGCACCGGCCAACUACGUG
rnacentral:rRNA from 1 species